rnacentral:rRNA from 1 species
UACGUAGGGUCCGAGCGUUGUCCGGAAUUAUUGGGCGUAAAGGGCUCGUAGGCGGUUUGUCACGUCGGGCGUGAAAACUCAGGGCUCAACCCUGAGCGUGCGUUCGAUACGGGCAGACUAGAGGUAUGCAGGGGAGAACGGAAUUCCUGGUGUAGCGGUGGAAUGCGCAGAUAUCAGGAGGAACACCGGUGGCGAAGGCGGUUCUCUGGGCAUUACCUGACGCUGAGACGCGAAAGCGUGGGGAGCAAACAGG